rnacentral:rRNA from 1 species
AUUGAACGCUGGCGGAAUGCUUUACACAUGCAAGUCGAACGGCAGCACGGACUUCGGUCUGGUGGCGAGUGGCGAACGGGUGAGUAAUGUAUCGGAACGUGCCCAGUGGUGGGGGAUAACGUAGUGAAAAUUACGCUAAUACCGCAUACGAUCUAUGGAUGAAAGCGGGGGAUCGCAAGACCUCGCGCGAUUGGAGCGGCCGAUAUGAGAUGAGGGAGUUGGUGGGGUAAAGGCCCCCAAGCAAACGAUCUGUAGCUGGUCGGAGAGGACGACCAGCCACACUGGAACUGAGACACGGUCCAGACUCCUACGGGAGGCAGCAGUGGGGAAUUUUGGACAAUGGGCGAAAGCCUGAUCCAGCCAUUCCGCGUGCAGGAUGAAGGCCCUCGGGUUGUGAACUGCUUUUGUACAGAACGAAAAGGUUUCUACUAAUACUAGGAGCUCAUGACGGUACUGUAAGAAUAAGCACCGGCUAACUACGUGCCAGCAGCCGCCGUAA